UCUAUCAACUUUAGCCUAACUUACACAUGCAAGUAUCCGCACCCCUGUGAGAAUGCCCCACAGUUUCCUGCAGGAAACAAGGAGCCGGCAUCAGGCACAAUUUAGCCCAAGACGCCUUGCUUAGCCACACCCCCAAGGGACCUCAGCAGUGAUAAACAUUAAGCCAUAAGUGAAAACUUGACUUAGCCAAGGCUAGGGCCGGUAAAACUCGUGCCAGCCACCGCGGUUAUACGAGAGGCCCAAGCUGAUAGAUACCGGCGUAAAGCGUGGUUAGGAGUACUUAAAAAUUAAAGUCGAAUGUCUCCAAGGCUGUUAUACGCAACCGGAAACUAGAAGAACAACAACGAAAGUGACUUUACAAUUUCUGAACCCACGAAAGCUAAGGCACAAACUGGGAUUAGAUACCCCACUAUGCCUAGCCCUAAACAUUGAUAGUUAUUUCUUCUAUCCGCCUGGGAACUACGAGCAUAAGCUUAAAACCCAAAGGACUUGGCGGUGCUUUAGAUCCACCUAGAGGAGCCUGUUCUAGAACCGAUAACCCCCGUUAAACCUCACCUUUUCUUGUUCUACCCGCCUAUAUACCACCGUCGUCAGCUUAUCCUGUGAAGGACUAUUAAUAAACAAAAUUGGCACAGCCCAAAACGUCAGGUCGAGGUGUAGCGUACGGAAAGGGAAGAAAUGGGCUACAUUUUCUAUUUAGAAAAAACGAAUGAUAAACUGAAAAACGUAUCUGAAGGAGGAUUUAGUAGUAAGCGGGAA
rnacentral:rRNA from 1 species